rnacentral:rRNA from 1 species
CAGUAGCCACGGUAAUACAGAGGGUGCAAGCGUUAAUCGGAAUUACUGGGCGUAAAGCGCGCGUAGGUGGUUUGUUAAGUUGGAUGUGAAAGCCCCGGGCUCAACCUGGGAACUGCAUCCAAAACUGGCAAGCUAGAGUACGGUAGAGGGUGGUGGAAUUUCCUGUGUAGCGGUGAAAUGCGUAGAUAUAGGAAGGAACACCAGAGGCGAAGGCGACCACCUGGACUGAUACUGACACUGAGGUGCGAAAGCGUGGGGAGCAAACAGGAUUAGAUACCCCGGUAGUCCCUGUCUCUUAUAC